AGCUGUUUUGGGACUACAAUUCCCAUCAUCCCUGACCACUGAUCCUGUUAGGGAUGAUGGGAGUUGUAGUCCCAAAACAGCU
rnacentral:miRNA from 1 species